rnacentral:rRNA from 1 species
GACGAACGCUGGCGGCGUGCUUAACACAUGCAAGUCGAACGGAAAGGCCCUGCUUUUGUGGGGUGCUCGAGUGGCGAACGGGUGAGUAACACGUGAGUAACCUGCCCUUGACUUUGGGAUAACUUCAGGAAACUGGGGCUAAUACCGGAUAGGAGCUCCUGCUGCAUGGUGGGGGUUGGAAAGUUUCGGCGGUUGGGGAUGGACUCGCGGCUUAUCAGCUUGUUGGUGGGGUAGUGGCUUACCAAGGCUUUGACGGGUAGCCGGCCUGAGAGGGUGACCGGCGGCGUUGGGGCUGGGGGAGGGGGCAGGGGCGUGCGGGGGGCAGGGGGGGGGAGUGGGGGGCAGUGGGCGGGAGGGUGGGGGGGGGGCGCCGGGGGCGGGAUGGCGGCCUUCGGGUUGUGAAGCGCUUUCGCCUGUGACGAAGCGUGAGUGACGGUAAUGGGUAAAGAAGCACCGGCUAACUACGUG